rnacentral:rRNA from 1 species
CCUACGGGAGGCAGCAGUGAGGAAUAUUGGUCAAUGGGCGGGAGCCUGAACCAGCCAAGCCGCGUGAGGGAAGAAGGUACAGCGUAUCGUAAACCUCUUUUGUCAGGGACCAAAGGCGGGGACUAGUCCCCGGCUGAGGGUACCUGAAGAAAAAGCAUCGGCUAACUCCGUGCCAGCAGCCGCGGUAAUACGGAGGAUGCGAGCGUUAUCCGGAUUUAUUGGGUUUAAAGGGUGCGGAGGCGGCCUGUUAAGUCAGCGGUAAAAGCCCGGGGCUAAACCCCGGCGAGCCGUUGAAACUGGCGGGCUGGAGUGGGAGAGAAGUACGCGGAAUGCGCGGUGUAGCGGUGAAAUGCUUAGAUAUCGCGCAGAACCCCGAUUGCGAAGGCAGCGUACCGGCUCCACACUGACGCUGAGGCACGAAAGCGUGGGUAUCGAACAGGAUUAGAUACCCCUGUAGUC